rnacentral:rRNA from 1 species
UUGCUCCUGUGACGCGAGUGGCGGACGGGUGAGUAACACGUAGGCAACCUGCCCAUCAGACCGGGAUAACCACGGGAAACCGUGACUAAUACCGGAUAAUCCUUUUCCUCACAGGAGGGAAAGUUGAAAGGCGGCCUUUUGGCUGCCGCUGAUGGAUGGGCCUGCGGCGCAUUAGCUAGUUGGUGGGGUAAGGGCCCACCAAGGCGACGAUGCGUAGCCGACCUGAGAGGGUGAUCGGCCACACUGGGACUGAGACACGGCCCAGACUCCUACGGGAGGCAGCAGUGGGGAAUCUUCCGCAAUGGACGAAAGUCUGACGGAGCAACGCCGCGUGAGUGAAGAAGGGUUUCGGCUCGUAAAACUCUGUUGUCAGGGAAGAACGUCCCCGUGAGUAACUGCACGGGGAGUGACGGUACCUGACCAGAAAGCCACGGCUAACUACGUGCCAGCAGCCGCGGUAAUACGUAGGUGGCAAGCGUUAUCCGGAAUUAUUGGGCGUAAAGCGCGCGUAGGCGGUCUGUUAAGUCUGAUGUGAAAGCCCCCGGCUCAACCGGGGAGGGUCAUUGGAAACUGGCAGACUUGAGUGCAAAGANGAGAGUGGAAUUCCAUGUGUAGCGGUGAAAUGCGCAGAGAUAUGGAGGAACACCAGUGGCNAACGCNGCUCUCUGGUCUGUAACUGACGCUGANGUGCGAAAGCGUGGGG